GCUAAAUAUUUCCACAGGACCGAAAGCAAACAAGUACCGUGAGGGAAAGUUGAAAAGCACUCUGAAGAGAGAGUCAAAAGACCGUGAAACCGCUCAGAGUAUAAGCCCAUGGUGAUUUGGAAGGCAUAACAGGUUGGAUUUCACUAUUUGUGAUGUCUGCCUAGUACAUUCGCCUGGGAGGUCGGGGUUUACUAGGUUUAUCACCCGAGCGCCCUCGGUCGGGGGUUGGGUUGGGAGUUGAUGGUGGCGUGUCGCAAGACCAGUCAUUGUUGGCUCCCGCUCUUCCCUUUGAUCGGCCUUACCAGGUGGUGGAGUCGCUAGAGCACUGUUAUCUGCCCACCACAACACGUUGUGAGGUCACCCACAGGCUCGACUGCCGAUUGCGAUUCAUUCUCGGGCAGGCUGCGGCAGAGUCGUUACCAUUCACGGUGCGGCGAUGCAGCUCUGUUCGGGGUGGGUCGGGCGGCGACUGAGUUCUGGUAUGAUCCUCCUGCGACGAGUUGUCUUCUGACUGGGAACGGCGCGCCGCGUUGCACAUUUUCGUGCGCGUGAGUUGUGGGGUACCUACAUUCAGGACCCGGUCAUCUGUGGUUUGUGCCCUCUGGAUGAGUAAAAUCAGCAAGGCCUCCACCGCGCAGCCGUUCCGUGUGGUGUAAAGUCCAAAGCCAUCGGUCACGUCUCGAAACACGGG
rnacentral:rRNA from 1 species